rnacentral:rRNA from 1 species
AUUGAACUGAAGAGUUUGAUCCUGGCUCAGAUUGAACGCUGGCGGUAUGCUUAACACAUGCAAGUCGAACGGAAACGAUACUAGCUUGCUAGUAGGCGUCGAGUGGCGGACGGGUGAGUAACGCGUAGGAAUCUACCUAGUAGCGGGGGAUAGCCCGGAGAAAUCCGGAUUAAUACCGCAUAAUCUCUAUGGAGAAAAGGGGCCCUCUUCUUGAAAGGUUUCGCUAUUAGAUGAGCCUGCGUAAGAUUAGCUUGUUGGUGAGGUAAAAGCUCACCAAGGCGACGAUCUUUAGCUGGUCUGAGAGGAUGAUCAGCCACACUGGGACUGAGACACGGCCCAGACUCCUACGGGA